AUUAAGCCAUGCAUGUCUAAGUACAUGCCUUAAAACGGUAAAACCGCGAAUGGCUCGGUAUAACAGCCACUGUUUAUUAGAUUUUAGUUAUCUACUUGGAUAACUGUGGUAAUUCUAGAGCUAAUACAUGCAGAUCAGACGGGAGUCUGGCAUUUAUUAGAUAAAGCCUUGGCGGGGGGUGAUUAAGUUUGCCUCUUGCGCAGGUGAGUAAUGAUAACUGGGCGGAUCGCAGAAUACUGCGACGCACCAAGGAAAUUUCUGCCCUAUCAACUGUGGAUGGUAGGAUAGGGGCCUACCAUGGUGGCGACGGGUGACGGGGAAUCAGGGUUCGAUUCCGGAGAGGGAGCCUGAGAGAUGGCUACCACUUCCAAGGAAGGCAGCAGGCGCGCAAAUUACCCAAUCCCGAAGCGGGGAGGUAGUGACAGGACAUGACGGGGCGGGGCGCUUAGCGUUCAGCGACUGGGUUGAGGAAAAGAUAAAGCGAUUGACGAGAAACGAUUGGAGGGCAAGUCUGGUGCCAGCAGCCGCGGUAAUUCCAGCUCCAAUGGUAUAUAUUAAAGUUGUUGCAGUUGAAAGGCUCGUAGUCGGAAGGCGGGGCGGUGGAUGCGGGUGGUAGGAAACUACGUACUUGGUCUGGCGCCCUUCGGGGGGGGCGAGGGGUAAUAGCCGGGCCCCCCCCGGUUACUGUGAGGAAAUUAGAGUGCUUAAAGCAGGCGCAAUAGCCUGAAUAAGGUGCAUGGAAUAAUGGAAUAGGACCUCGGUCCCAUUUUGUUGGUUUUCGGAACCUGAGGUAAUGAUUAAGAGGAACAGACGGGGGCAUUUGUAUUCCGGCGCUAGAGGUGAAAUUCUUGGACCGCCGGAAGACAAACAACUGCGAAAGCAUUUGCCAAGAAUGUUUUCAUUAAUCAAGAACGAAAGUUAGAGGUUCGAAGGCGAUCAGAUACCGCCCUAGUUCUAACCGUAAACGAUGACAACCAGCGAUUAAUCGGCGUUAAUAUAUGACCCGAUUAGCAGCUUCCGGGAAACCAAAGUUUUUCGUUUCCGGGGGAAGUAUGGUUGCAAAGCUGAAACUUAAAGGAAUUGACGGAAGGGCACCACCAGGAGUGGAGCCUGCGGCUUAAUUUGACUCAACACGGGAAAACUCACCCGGCCCGGACACCGUAAGGAUUGACAGACUGAGAGCUCUUUCUUAAUUCGGUGGGUGGUGGUGCAUGGCCGUUCUUAGUUGGUGGAGCGAUUUGUCUGGUUAAUUCCGAUAACGAACGAGACUCUGGCCUAUUAAAUAGACGAUAUAUUUAUUCGUAUAUCGCGCUUCUUAGAGGGACAAGCGGCGUCUAGCCGCAUGAAAUAGAGCAAUAACAGGUCUGUGAUGCCCUUUAGAUGUCCGGGGCUGCACGCGCGCUACACUGAAAGAAUCAGAGUGCGUUAUACCUAGUUCGGAAGAACCGGGUAACCCAAGUAAAUUCUUUCGUGCUUGGGAUAGGGAAUUGCAAUUAUUUCCCUUAAACGAGGAAUUCCCAGUAAAUGCGGGUCAUAAGCUCGCGUUGAUUACGUCCCUGCCCUUUGUACACACCGCCCGUCGCUACUACCGAUUGGAUGACUUAGUGAGGUCUUAGGACCGAGGCAAAGGUGCCUGUCAUGGGUGCUUUUGCUUUGGAAAUUUGAUCGAACUACGUUAUCUAGAGGAAGUAAAA
rnacentral:rRNA from 1 species